rnacentral:rRNA from 1 species
UGAGUGAAGAAGGCCUUCGGGUUGUAAAGCUCUUUCAGCCGGAACGAAACGGUCACGGUUAAUACCUGUGGCUACUGACGGUACCGGAAGAAGAAGCACCGGCUAACUACGUGCCAGCAGCCGCGGUAAUACGUAGGGUGCAAGCGUUAAUCGGAAUUACUGGGCGUAAAGCGUGCGCAGGCGGUUUUGUAAGUCAGAUGUGAAAUCCCCGGGCUUAACCUGGGAACUGCGUUUGAAACUACAAGGCUAGAGUGUGGCAGAGGGGGGUGGAAUUCCACGUGUAGCAGUGAAAUGCGUAGAGAUGUGGAGGAACACCGAUGGCGAAGGCAGCCCCCUGGGUUAACACUGACGCUCAGGCACGAAAGCGUGGGGAGCAAACAGGAUUAGAUACCCUGGUAGUCCACGCCCUAAACGA